rnacentral:rRNA from 1 species
CCCUUAGAGUUUGAUCCUGGCUCAGAUUGAACGCUGGCGGCAGGCCUAACACAUGCAAGUCGAACGGUAACAGGAAGCAGCUUGCUGCUUUGCUGACGAGUGGCGGACGGGUGAGUAAUGUCUGGGAAACUGCCUGAUGGAGGGGGAUAACUACUGGAAACGGUAGCUAAUACCGCAUAAUGUCGCAAGACCAAAGAGGGGGACCUUCGGGCCUCUUGCCAUCGGAUGUGCCCAGAUGGGAUUAGCUAGUAGGUGGGGUAACGGCUCACCUAGGCGACGAUCCCUAGCUGGUCUGAGAGGAUGACCAGCCACACUGGAACUGAGACACGGUCCAGACUCCUACGGGAGGCAGCAGUGGGGAAUAUUGCACAAUGGGCGCAAGCCUGAUGCAGCCAUGCCGCGUGUAUGAAGAAGGCCUUCGGGUUGUAAAGUACUUUCAGCGGGGAGGAAGGCGGUGAGGUUAAUAACCUCAUCGAUAACGUACCCCAGAAGAGC